rnacentral:lncRNA from 1 species
CAGCUUUUUCCUUUAUUUAUAUCGGUGGAAGUGUAGAAAUUCCUUAUUUGACUUAUACAAAUGACCUCAAUGAUCCAACAUCACAGAAGUUCAUCCUGCAAACAAACACAAUCCAAAAUUAUAUGGUGUGGGCCUGGGGCCUGGACUCCUUCGGUUGUGCAUUUAACUUCAUCAAGUAAUGUGAUAUUGCUUACCUUCUCACUGGACCAAAGAGGAGAAAGCAAUGUAUUAAAAGCUCACUUUCAAGCUGUUCCUAAAAUCAUAUGUGGUGGUCAAUAUAUUUCCUGGAAUGGGACACUGAGUUCUCCUUAUUAUCCGAGUUACUACCCACCAAAUAUUGACUUCACCUGGAUCAUCAAGGCAUCAUUUCCUGGCUACAAACUCUCAAUAAAAAUUCUUAUAAUACAAAUUCAAGAGAAGUCUCCAGGGUCCAGUAAAUGUGAUAAAGACUAGAAAUUGGUGGAGUUAGAGCAAUAAUGUAGAAAACUACAGGAUCUUAUGCAGCUGCAGCUGAACUGUAAAUUCCUGGCUGUGGUCUUCAUGCGGGUGAGGAGUUUGUGUAAUCAGAUGUUUAAUUUUCUUUAUCACUUGCUCUUCAGUGAUUGCAAUUUUUACACAAAC